rnacentral:rRNA from 1 species
GGUCUCUGGGGCUAUUUACGGGACACCGCCGCUGCUGAGGGGAGAAGGAAGGGAAAAAGGGCGGGUCUUUGUCCCCAAAUCCUCCGGGGUAACACGCGGGUUAUGGGGUAGGGACAAGGGUUCCAGACCUCAAAAGAGGAGGGAAAUCCUCAAACCCAACCUUAUUUGUGAUUGAGGGCUGAAACUCGCCCUCAUGAAUAUGGAAUCCCUAGUAAUCGCGUGUCAUAAACGCGCGGUGAA